AAGUAUUAAAGGUCCCGCCUGCCCAGUGAAACAUUUAAACGGCCGCGGUAUUCUAACCGUGCAAAGGUAGCGUAAUCACUUGUCUUCUAAAUAAAGACCAGUAUGAACGGCUAAAUGAGGACAAACCUGUCUCUUAUAACUAAUCAGUGAAACUGAUCUACCAGUACAAAAGCUGGUAUAUAUACAUAAGACGAGAAGACCCUGUGGAGCUUAAGACAUACUACUAAAUACAAAAUAUUACUAGUACAAUAUCUUAAGUUGGGGCGACUUCGGAACAAAACAAAACUUCCGAGCAGAGACCCACCACAUCUUACUAAGGCCAACAAGCCAAAGUGGAAAACUGACCCGGCUCCCGCCGAUCAACGAACCAAGUUACCCCAGGGAUAACAGCGCUAUCUUCUUCAAGAGUCCCUAUCGACAAGAAGGUUUACGACCUCGAUGUUGGAUCAGGACACCCAAGUGGUGCAGCCGCUACUAAAGGUUCGUUUGUUCAACGAUUAACAGUCCUACGUGAUCUGAGUUCAGACCGGAG
rnacentral:rRNA from 1 species